rnacentral:rRNA from 1 species
GACAGAGGUGCCGAGCGUUAGGCGGAAUCACUGGGCUUAAAGCGUGUGUAGGCGGACCGUUAAGUACCUUGUGAAAUCCCACGGCUCAACCGUGGAACGGCUGGGUAUACUGGCGGUCUUGAGCGGCCUAGGGGCAGACGGAACAAGUGGUGGAGCGGUGAAAUGCGUAGAUAUCACUUGGAACGCCGACGGUGAAAACAGUCUGCUGGGGGCCUGCUGACGCUGAGACACGAAAGCCAGGGGAGCGAACGGG